rnacentral:pre_miRNA from 1 species
AAGGUACCCCCUCCGUUCGGAAUUACUUGUCGCAGAAAUGGAUGUAUCUAGAUGUAUUUUAGUUCUAGAUACAUCCAUUUCCGAGACAAGUAAUUCCGAACGGAGGGAGUAGUAU